rnacentral:rRNA from 1 species
UACGGAGGGUGCUAGCGUUGUUCGGAAUCACUGGGCGUAAAGCGCGCGUAGGCGGCUUAGCAAGUUAGAGGUGAAAGCCCGAAGCUCAACUUCGGAAUUGCCUUUAAAACUGCAAAGCUAGAAUCAUGGAGAGGUGAGUGGAAUUCCGAGUGUAGAGGUGAAAUUCGUAGAUAUUCGGAAGAACACCAGUGGCGAAGGCGACUCACUGGACAUGUAUUGACGCUGAGGUGCGAAAGCGUGGGGAGCAAACAGG